rnacentral:rRNA from 1 species
AUUGAACGCUGGCGGCAGGCCUAACACAUGCAAGUCGAGCGAGCGGCGGACGGGUGAGUAAUGUCUGGGAAACUGCCUGAUGGAGGGGGAUAACUACUGGAAACGGUAGCUAAUACCGCAUACCAUCAGAUGUGCCCAGAUGGGAUUAGCUAGUAGGUGGGGUAACGGCUCACCUAGGCGACGAUCCCUAGCUGUUCUGAGAGGAUGACCAGCGAAACGGGAACGUAGCCACGGGCCAGACUCCUAAGGGAGGAAGCAGGGGGGAAUAUUGCACAAUGGGCGCAAGCCUGAUGCAGCCAUGCCGCGUGUGUGAAGAAGGCAUUCGGGUUGUAAAGCACUUUCAGCGGGGAGGCGGUACCCGCAGAAGAAGCACCGGCUAACUCCGUGCCAGCAGCCGCGGUAAUUC